ACCCUGUUGAGCUUGACUCUAGUCCGACUUUGUGAAACAUCUUUAGAGGUGUAGAAUAAGUGGGAGAGAAAUCGACCUUGAAAUACCACUACUUUAAAUGAUGUUUUACUUAUUUGAUUAUAACAAAUUUUUAUUCUAGCAAUAAGAUCGUAGUUUACUAUGGUUGAUUGUUUUCAAAGACAUUGUCAGAUGGGGAGUUUGGCUGGGGCGGCACAUCUGCUAAAAGAUAACGCAGGUGUCCAAAGAUGAACUCAAUGAGAACAGAAAUCUCAU
rnacentral:rRNA from 1 species